rnacentral:rRNA from 1 species
GACGUAGGAGGCGAGCGUUGUCCGGAUUCAUUGGGCGUAAAGAGCGCGCAGGCGGCUUGGUAAGUCGGAUGUGAAAACCCGAGGCUCAACCUCGGGCGUGCAUCCGAAACUGCUCGGCUAGAAGUAGGUAGGGGAGAUCGGAAUUCCUGGUGUAGCGGUGAAAUGCGCAGAUAUCAGGAGGAACACCGGUGGCGAAGGCGGAUCUCUGGGCCUUACCUGACGCUCAGGCGCGAAAGCUAGGGGAGCGAACUGG